rnacentral:misc_RNA from 1 species
UACCCAGUGAUGAGGUAUGUUCUGUCACUGAGCAUGAUGUGAACUGAAUUCUUGUAGCAUUGAUUGGAUUUUAAAAAAAGCAUGCACCUGUGUUUCUUCCGUGAAAAUCCACUUGUAGAUAUAGUGUAAAUUCAAUACUGCCCUUGAAAUUUGAAAGCAUAGGAAACACUGAAUAUAUGUUAACCAAUUAACUCACACUGAUUGCUGUGCUUAUACGCUGUUUGCUUGUCGAAUCAACAUGCUAAUGUUUGAACAACGUUUAAGGAUACAUGAAAAUUUAUGCAGGUUGAAAGAAUGGUGAAUGAAGCUGAGAAAUUUGCAAAGGAGGACAAGGAGAAGAGAGAUGCCAU